rnacentral:rRNA from 1 species
AAUAGAUACCCCAGGUAGUCCACGCCGUAAACGUUGGGCGCUAGAUGUGGGGACCUUUCCACGGUUUCCGUGUCGUAGCUAACGCAUUAAGCGCCCCGCCUGGGGAGUACGGCCGCAAGGCUAAAACUCAAAGGAAUUGACGGGGGCCCGCACAAGCGGCGGAGCAUGCGGAUUAAUUCGAUGCAACGCGAAGAACCUUACCAAGGCUUGACAUACACGAGAACGGGCCAGAAAUGGUCAACUCUUUGGACACUCGUGAACAGGUGGUGCAUGGUUGUCGUCAGCUCGUGUCGUGAGAUGUUGGGUUAAGUCCCGCAACGAGCGCAACCCUCGUCGCAUGUUGCCAGCACGUUAUGGUGGGGACUCAUGUGAGACUGCCGGGGUCAACUCGGAGGAAGGUGGGGAUGACGUCAAAUCAUCAUGCCCCUUAUGUCUUGGGCUUCACGCAUGCUACAAUGGCCGGUACAAAGGGCUGCGAUGUCGUAAGGCGGAGCGAAUCCCAAAAAGCCGGUCUCAGUUCGGAUUGAGGU